rnacentral:rRNA from 1 species
UACGUAGGGUGCGAGCGUUAAUCGGAAUUACUGGGCGUAAAGCGUGCGCAGGCGGUUCUCCAAGUCCGUUGUGAAAGCCCCGGGCUCAACCUGGGAAUGGCAGUGGAAACUAGGGGACUGGAAUCUGGCAGAGGGGGGUGGAAUGCCGCGUGUAGCAGUGAAAUGCGUAGAGAUGCGGCGGAACACCGAUGGCGAAGGCAGCCCCCUGGGCUGAGAUUGACUCUGAGGCACGAAAGCGUGGGGAUCAAACAGG